GUGGAUGCCUUGGCAGUCA
rnacentral:rRNA from 1 species